rnacentral:rRNA from 1 species
UACGUAGGGGGCAAGCGUUGUCCGGAAUUAUUGGGCGUAAAGAGCGUGUAGGCGGUCCGGUAAGUCCGCUGUGAAAGUCGGGGGGCUCAACCCUCGGAUGCCGGUGGAUACUGUCGGGCUUGAGUACGGAAGAGGCGAGUGGAAUUCCUGGUGUAGCGGUGAAAUGCGCAGAUAUCAGGAGGAACACCAAUUGCGAAGGCAGCUCGCUGGGACGUUACUGACGCUGAGACGCGAAAGCGUGGGGAGCAAACAGG